CCUACGGGUGGCAGCAGUGAGGAAUAUUGGUCAAUGGGCUUACGCCUGAACCAGCCAAGUCGCGUGAGGGAAGACUGCCCUAUGGGUUGUAAACCUCUUUUGUCAGGGAGCAACGCCGGCUACGUGUAGCCGGACUGAGAGUACCUGAAGACAAAGCAUCGGCUAGCUCCGUGCAAGCAGCCGCGGUAAUACGGAGGAUGCGAGCGUUAUCCGGAUUUAUUGGGUUUAAAGGGUGCGUAGGCGGAAUGCCAAGUCAGCGGUAAAAUCGCGGGGCUAAACUUCGCUCCGCCGUUGAGACUGGCGUUCUUGAGUGGGCGAGAGGUAUGCGGAAUGCGUGGUGUAGCGGUGAAAUGCGUAGAUAUGACGCGGAACUCCGAUUGCGAAGGCAGCAUACCGGCGCCCAACUGACGCUGAAGCACGAAAGCGUGGGGAGCGAACAGGAUUAGAUACCCGGGUAGUC
rnacentral:rRNA from 1 species